rnacentral:tRNA from 1 species
GGCAGUGUGGUGUAGUGGUUAGAGUGUUGGACCAGGACUUGGGGGACCAGGGUUCAAAUCCCUACCCUGCCA